CGAGUUUGAUCAUGGCUCAGAACGAACGCUGGCGGCAGGCCUAACACAUGCAAGUCGAGCGAGGUAGCAAUACCUAGCGGCGGACGGGUUAGUAACGCGUGGGAACGUGCCCAAAGGUACGGAAUAGCCUCGGGAAACUGAGAGUAAUACCGUAUGUGCCCUUCGGGGGAAAGAUUUAUCGCCUUUGGAUCGGCCCGCGUUGGAUUAGGUAGUUGGUGGGGUAAUGGCCUACCAAGCCGACGAUCCAUAGCUGGUUUGAGAGGAUGAUCAGCAACACUGGGACUGAGACACGGCCCAGACUCCUACGGGAGGCAGCAGUGGGGAAUCUUAGACAAUGGGGGAAACCCUGAUCUAGCCAUGCCGCGUGAGCGAUGAAGGCCUUAGGGUUGUAAAGCUCUUUCAGCUGGGAAGAUAAUGACGGUACCAGCAGAAGAAGCCCCGGCUAACUCCGUG
rnacentral:rRNA from 1 species